rnacentral:lncRNA from 1 species
GUUAAGAGAUUUGCGCAGCUUACUUCACUGUCUGAAGAGCUGCUGUCAGAGGAGGAGGAAGAAGAGGAUGAACUGGAAUCCUGUGUACAAGAAGAAAAGAUUAUUGCAUAAUUGACACCAGUAAAGUACAUGUCCUGCUGCAGGAGCUUUGGGGUCUGUCUUGGCUGCGUUAGUGGUGUCGGUUGAAGACAGCCCUCCUUGCCCUCCAUGCUCUUCAAGCUUCUGUUCACUCCUCCAAGGCUUGAGUUCAUCCAGCGUGCUCAGGACAACUUGUCCUCCCUCUCCAUCUCCAGGCCCUCCCCCUGGAGCU